CAAUACAUGCGUCAAGCGUUUGCCUUCGGGUUAAACGUGCUGUUAUUGGAGCAAAACCAGUCUCGUACUGUUUGCUAACCCAGAAUAAUUCUGCAUAUCGCAUGGUCUUGUACCGGCGAAGUUUCUUUCAAGUAUCUGCUUUAUCAACUAUCGUUGGUAGUUUAUUGGUCUACCAUGGUGUUGACGGGUAACGGAGAAUCAGGGUUUGACUCCGGAGAGGGAGCCUUAGAAACGGCUACCAUGUCUAAGGAUAGCAGCAGGCACGAAAAUUACCCAAUAUCAAAACGAUGAGGUAGUGACGAGAAAUAACGAGAUCGUUCUCUAUGAGAUCGAUUAUUGGAAUGAGUACAAUCCAGAAAUUUUAACGAGUAUCUACGAGAGGGCAAGUCUGGUGCCAGCAGCCGCGGUAAUUCCAGCUCUCGUAAUGUAUAGAAUUAUUGUUGCGAUUAAAAAGUUCGUAGUUGGAUUGCAACGUAGGCAUGGGUCCACCUUCGUGGUGCGUACUCAAUGCUUACAUUUUGCUGGUUUUUGCGGCGUUGUUUUCGGACGACGUUCGUGAUGCCAGCAGGAUUACUUUGAACGGCUCAAGUGCUUAAAGCAAGUCUUAUGACUGAAUACCGGUGCAUGGAAUAUUGGAACAAGGUUGUGGCUGAGUUUUAUUGGUUUUGUCGGCUAAAACAAUGGUUAACAGGAACAGCCGGGGGCAUUCGUAUCGCUGCGCGAGAGGUGAAAUUC
rnacentral:rRNA from 2 species